UUUUGUUUUGUUUUGUUUUUUUCUGGAGAGGACGGAGUGCUGUCAUCUAGAUAACAUUUUCAAAGCUUAAUGACCUUGGCACGAGUGGCUUUGCAGGCAGGGAGCUGGGACUCUUUACCUGCAGGCAGACAUGGAGAAAAACACUGAACAUGGGCAGAGUUCUGGAUCCCUCACAGAAGACUGUUUUGGGAUAAUCCACCCGCCCACACAAGAUAUCAGCUGGCUAUGAAGCAAACCAUGCAGUCUUAGAGUUAAUUCACAAGUGUGCCACUAAGGAAAUCAUCUCCAGCAUCAUUAUCGUUUUGAUUGUUUUGGAGAGGAAAGGAAAACAGAGAAGAAGGCAUUGUUCCUGCGGAGCACAAGCUGUGGACAUCUCACCACAUCUGCGGCUUAAGGGGGAGGCUACAAAGCAGAUGUUCUACAGCAAGCAAAUCUCCCUCCUCAGGUUACCAGCGGCUCAGGAGUGUUGGGAGUUGCCACAAAGGGAGUCGCCAUCCAUGACAUAGCACAAGUUCUUUUCCUCAUCCAUGACCUUAGACAGAACCCUUCUGAUUUUCUUUAUCAUUCCAAUCUAGAAUCCCUUCC
rnacentral:lncRNA from 1 species